rnacentral:rRNA from 1 species
AGAGUUUGAUCCUGGCUCAGAACGAACGCUGGCGGCGCGUCUUAAGCAUGCAAGUCGAACGGCAAGAGAGAAGCUUGCUUCUCUCCUAGAGUGGCGGACUGGUGAGGAACACGUGGGUAAUCUGCCCUUAAGAUGGGGAUAGCUGCUAGAAAUAGCAGGUAAUACCGAAUACACUCGGCACUUCAUAAGAGGUGUUGAGGAAAGGAAGCUAUGGCUUCGCUUGAGGAUGAGCUUGCGUCCCAUUAGCUAGUUGGUGAGGUAAAGGCCCACCAAGGCGACGAUGGGUAUCCGGCCUGAGAGGGUGAUCGGCCACAUUGGGACUGAGACACGGCCCAAACUCCUACGGGAGGCAGCAGCUAAGAAUAUUCCGCAAUGGACGGAAGUCUGACGGAGCGACGCCGCGUGGAUGAAGAAGGCUGAAAAGUUGUAAAAUCCUUUUGUUGAUGAAGAAUAAGGGUGAGAGGGAAUGCUCAUCUGAUGACGGUAAUCGACGAAUAAGCCCCGGCUAAUUACGUGCCAGCAGCCGCGGUAACACGUAAGGGGCGAGCGUUGUUCGGAAUUAUUGGGCGUAAAGGGCAUGUAGGCGGUUGUGUAAGCCUGGUGUGAAAUCCUGGGGCUUAACCCCAGAAUAGCAUUGGGUACUGCACGACUUGAAUUACGGAAGGGAAACUGGAAUUCCAAGUGUAGGGGUGGAAUCUGUAGAUAUUUGGAAGAACACCGGUGGCGAAGGCGGGUUUCUGGCCGAUAAUUGACGCUGAGAUGCGAAAGUGUGGGGAUCGAACAGGAUUAGAUACCCUGGUAGUCCACACUGUAAACGAUGUACACUAGGUGUUGGGGCAAGAGCUUCAGUGCCAAAGCAAACGCGAUAAGUGUACCGCCUGGGGAGUAUGCCCGCAAGGGUGAAACUCAAAGGAAUUGACGGGGGCCCGCACAAGCGGUGGAGCAUGUGGUUUA